GCUGAAGCAGCUAAAGCUUGCACAUCUGGCUGGGCAUCUCGACGUGCUUCUUCCACUCCGGACAAAAGCUCCAAACGAAGCUUCACGACAAGGGUUUCACUCACUGUUGAAACGAGUUAAUAAAAGAAUAUAUGACACAUGAAGUCAUUCAGCACAACGAGGGAUUCUCUCCGCAGACUGUAAAACUUGGCCACACCUGACAAGGAUAAUAAUAAGUGUACUGCUUAUGAUGAAUGUAUUAUGGCUAAUUUGCAUGUGUACCUAAAUUAAUGUGAAUGCAUAUGGUGCAUAUAAUAACCAAA